rnacentral:rRNA from 1 species
ACUACGGGUGGCAGCAGUGAGGAAUAUUGGUCAAUGGACGAGAGUCUGAACCAGCCAAGUAGCGUGAAGGAUGACUGCCCUAUGGGUUGUCAACUUCUUUUAUAUUGGAAUAAAAUGUUCCACGUGUGGGAUUUUGUAUGUACCAUAUGAAUAAGGAUCGGCUAACUCCGUGCCCGCAGCCGCGGUAAUACGAAGGAUCCGAGCGUUCUCCGGAUUUAUUGGGGUUAAAGGGAGCGUAGGUGGAUUGUUCAGUCAGUUGUGAAAGUUUGGGGCUCAACCGUAAAAUUGCAGUUGACUCUGGCAGUCUUGAGGACAGUAGAGAUGGGCGGAAUUCGUGGUGUAGCGGUGAAAUGCUUAGAUAUCACGAAGAACUCCGAGUGCGAAGGCAGUUCACUGGACUGCAACUGACACUGAGGCUCGAAAGUGUGGGUAUCAAACAGGAUUAGAUACCCUAGUAGUC